GACGAACGCUGGCGGCGUGCUUAACACAUGCAAGUCGAACGGACAGGCCCUGCUUUUGUGGGGUGCUCGAGUGGCGAACGGGUGAGUAACACGUGAGUAACCUGCCCUUGACUUUGGGAUAACUUCAGGAAACUGGGGCUAAUACCGGAUAGGAGCUCUUGCUGCAUGGUGGGGGUUGGAAAGUUUCGGCGGUUGGGGAUGGACUCGCGGCUUAUCAGCUUGUUGGUGGGGUAGUGGCUUACCAAGGCUUUGACGGGUAGCCGGCCUGAGAGGGUGACCGGCCACAUUGGGACUGAGAGACGGCCCAGACUCCUACGGGAGGCAGCAGUGGGGUAUAUUGCACAAUGGGCGGAAGCCUGAUGCAGCAACGCCGCGUGCGGGAUGACGGCCUUCGGGUUGUAAACCGCUUUCGCCUGUGACGAAGCGUUAGUGACGGUAAUGGGUAAAGAAGCACCGGCUAACUACGUG
rnacentral:rRNA from 1 species